rnacentral:rRNA from 1 species
UCACGAAAGUUGGUUGUACCGGAAGCCGGUGCGCUAACCCUUCGGGGAAGCAGCCGUCCAUGGUAUGCCCAGCGAUUGGGGUG